rnacentral:tRNA from 1 species
GGGGGCGUAGCUCAUAUGGUGGAGCGCCCGCUUCGCAUGCGAGAGGCGCGGGGUUCGAUUUAUCGCGUCUCCA